ACAUUGGGAACCUGCAAGCCAUGGGGCGGCCAACAGUACAGCACAGGUAAACAACAAGAAGAUAUACCUUGGAGAUGUGCCCUGUAUUACUCACAGCUCCAUUCCCUACCCAGCUGCUCCAGCAGUCCGUGACAAGGAAAAGAAUGGACCAGAGGGGACUAAGGGCCUGCUGCUACUCUGAUACAUCAACAACUCUGACAGAAAUGAAAAUCACUCUCCUGUGACUGAAGCUCUUCAAGGUGAAUUCUGCAUAUUCUCAGACAGUGAGACCUGUGUCUGUUAGAAUAGCCUUGCAUCCUGUCCUCACUGUUCCUGCCCCAACACUGACAUGUCUUCUGCCUCCCCAUGCGUCUGACCUGCAGACCACCCAAGGCCCAGCAAGCUCCACUGGCCAACAUACGGCAACAUCAUAUUAUGUAACCUUCAAGCUUAUUUAGGAAAUGUAUAGAUAUACCACUUCCCUUCGUAGUA